rnacentral:rRNA from 1 species
AAGAGUUACUGGGCGAACAGACCAAUUCUUAUAAAUUCUUCUCUAUAAGUUAUUCUUAAUCCAACAUCGAGGUCGUAAUUUAUUUUGGGAAUUUGAUCUUCUCAAAAAUUUUACGCUGUUAUCCCUUAGGUAAUUUAGUUUAUUUCUUAUUUGGAUAAUUUAAUUUGAUUAAAUUCAUUUUAUUAUAUUAAAAGAUUUAAUUAUUUUAAAAUCUCCCCAAUUUAACAAAUUAUAUUUAAUUAAAAUUAAUUUUAAUUGUUAAAUUCUAAAGGGUCUUCUUGUCUUUUGAUUUAAUUUAAGAUUUUUCACUUAAAUAUUAAUUUGUACUAUUUUAGUUAAAAAAGUUAGUUUUUCAUUUUUUCCUUCAUUCAAGCUUUGAAUUAUAAAGCAAUUUAUUAUGCUACCUUAGUACAGUUAAUUUACUGCAGCUAUUUAAGAUUUAUCAUUGAGCAGAACUUAUCUAAAAUUUUUUUCUUUAAACU